GACGAACGCUGGCGGCGUGCCUAAUGCAUGCAAGUAGAACGCUGAAGGAGGAGCUUGCUUCUCUGGAUGAGUUGCGAACGGGUGAGUAACGCGUAGGUAACCUGCCUGGUAGUGGGGGAUAACUAUUGGAAACGAUAGCUAAUACCGCAUAAUAGCAGUUGUUGCAUGAUAACUGUUUGAAAGGUGCAAUUGCACCGCUACCAGAUGGACCUGCGUUGUAUUAGCUAGUUGGUGGGGUAACGGCUCACCAAGGCGACGAUACAUAGCCGACCUGAGAGGGUGAUCGGCCACACUGGGACUGAGACACGGCCCAGACUCCUACGGGAGGCAGCAGUAGGGAAUCUUCGGCAAUGGACGGAAGUCUGACCGAGCAACGCCGCGUGAGUGAAGAAGGUUUUCGGAUCGUAAAGCUCUGUUGUAAGAGAAGAACGAGUGUGAGAGUGGAAAGUUCACACUGUGACGGUAUCUUACCAGAAAGGGACGGCUAACUACGUG
rnacentral:rRNA from 1 species